AGUACUAGGUGAAAUAAAUCUUAAUGCAGAUUUAAAUAUCAAUAUUAUAAAAGUGGAAAGCUAUAUCAAAGAUGUAGAAAGUAAAAUAAAUUAUGAAUGUACUAAUGAAUAAACAAAUAAAGAGGAAAAUAACAUUAUUGAGAAAUUGAAUCAACAAUUAAGAGAUUUUAUGAAUAAAUAUCAAAUUUUGGAUCAAGAGUUAAGUGAAACUAUUAAUUUAAAUAAAAAAUUAGACAAUCAAUUAAAUAGAAAUAUAGACAUUAAGGAAGAAAUGGACCAAAAAUUAGGAGAAGCCUACAGAAAAAUGUAUACUAAUUGUAUACAUUCUAAUUCUAGAUUGUAAACUAGAAAAUGUAUCUAGUGAAAAUAAGAACAGUGUUAUAAAUGCUUUUAGAACAUCAAAAACAACUCAAACAAUGAAAACAAAAAUACCAUGAUAUUUCAAAACACUAUGAAACCUCAAAAUUAAGUGGAAUCCAGAUUAAACUACAAAUACAAUUAGAAAAAAUAGAAAAAGAAGUAAUUGAGUGGCAAAAAAUAAUAUAAUGAUUCCUUAUUUGAAAAUCGUAACAUUCGAAAUAAGAGGCAAUGUGAUGGUACAUUUAUAACAAUAAUUAUCACAUGUAAAACAUUACAUGUUUAUGUAAAACAUUACAAAAACACGUGAUAGAUUUGCAAAGUUAUGUUAAAGAAUUAAGUAAUAAAUUGAGUGAAAAAGUAAACAAUGAAUUUCUGUAAACUUAAUUCUUAAAUUUAAAAAAAAAUAUCUCUAAUGAACAUCAUAAUUUUUACCAAGAAUCACAUUAUUAUUCUUUAGUGUGGCAAAAAGUGUACUUAGUAACACUAGCUGGUGGUAAAGACAAGGUAUUAAGACUCAUUAUCCCUGAACUAAAAUGGCCUUCUUAAAAGUACAAUGCAAAAAAUAUGUGAUUAACGUAAAAU